CGGGAAUUUUGGCUUGGAUAGUUCAUGAAUUCGGCGCUUGGCGAUAUUUUGCUGUUCCUAGGAGGCGAAAACAGUGGUGCAAACGGGAAUUUUGGCUUGGAUAGUUCAUGAAUUCGGCGCUUGGCGAUAUUUUGCUGUUCCUAGGAGGCGAAAACAGUGGUGCAAACGGGAAUUUUGGUUUGGAUAGUUCAUGAAUUCGGCGCUUGGCGAUAUUUUGCUGUUCCUUGGAGGCGAAAACAGUGGUGCAAACGGGAAUUUUGGCUUGGAUAGUUCAUGAAUUCGGCGCUUGGCGAUAUUUUGCUGUUCCUUGGAGGCGAAAACAGUGGUGCAAACGGGAAUGUUGGAUUGGAUAGUUCAUGAAUUCGGCGCUUGGUGAUAUUUUGCUGUUCCUUGGCGGCGAAAACAGUGGUGCAAACGGGAAUUUUGGUUUGGAUAGUUCAUGAAUUCGGCGCUUGGCGAUAUUUUGCUGUUCCUUGGAGGCGAAAACAGUGGUGCAAACGGGAAUUUUGGAUUGGAUAGUUCAUGAAUUCGGCGCUUGGCGAUAUUUUGCUGUUCCUUGGAGGCGAAAACAGUGGUGCAAACGGGAAUGUUGGAUUGGAUAGUUCAUGAACUCGGCGCUUGGCGAAAAUUUUGCUAUGCCUAAAAAGCGAAAAUAGUGGAGAAAGCGGGAAUGUUGGCUUGCAUAGUUCAUGAACUCGGCGCUUGGCGAAAUUUUUGGUGUGCCUAAGAAGUGAAAAUGUGGUAACAACCUGAAAGUGAAAUUGAAAGAAUAAUAAGAUCGAGAAUGUGCCGAA